CAGCCGCCGCGGUAAUACAUAGGGGGCGAGCGUUAUCCGGAAUUAUUGGGCGUAAAGGGUGCGUAGGCGGCCAUUUAAGUCUGGGGUGUAAGUGCAGUGCUCAACGCUGUGAUGCUCUGGAAACUGGAUGGCUAGAGUUAGAUAGAGGCAAGUGGAAUUCCAUGUGUAGCGGUAAAAUGCGUAAAUAUAUGGAGGAACACCAGUGGCGAAGGCGGCUUGCUGGGUCUACACUGACGCUGAGGCACGAAAGCGUGGGGAGCAAACAGGAUUAGAUACCCUGGUAGUCCACGCCGUAAACGAUGAGUACUAAGUGUUGGAGAAAUUCAGUGCUGAAGUUAACGCAGUAAGUACUCCGCCUGAGUAGUACGUACGCAAGUAUGAAACUUAAAGGAAUUGACGGGACCCCGCACAAGCGGUGGAUCAUGUUGUUUAAUUCGAGGAUACGCGAAAAACCUUACCAGGUCUUGACAUACUCUGCAAAGGCUUAGAAAUAAGUUCGGAGGUUAACAGAGAUACAGGUGGUGCAUGGCC
rnacentral:rRNA from 1 species